GGGUGCGUGGUCUAGUGGUAUGAUACUCCCUUAGCAUCAUCACAACAGUGAGAUUCUAACAUGGGAGUGGUCCUGGGUUCAAUUCCCAGCGCAUCCA